rnacentral:lncRNA from 1 species
UGUAACUGCCUGGUGCAUACGCUGUGGGUUGUUCUUUCCAUUUCUCAUUCUGCGCAACUUAGGGCUUCGUCAUCGUCGCAACGAACCUUCAUUCGUUCGUUCUUCUCCUUCCUUCUAUGAUCGAGUCAGCCUCUAUAACCCCCUGACCAUUUUUCCUUUCUUCUCCCUUUGCAGCUGCUAUCAUGACUCGCACAAAGAUUACCCCGAACCCACC